GUCCUUGUCCUGGUCCUUCCCACAUUUUCUGUAGACAGUGUCGUAACAAGAAGAAAACAAUUAAAAUGAAACGCUUACAUCCAAACUGGACACUUGUUUUGACCGUCUGAGAGUGGAAAUAGGCUUGAUCAGCCCUUCAGGUGUACAGCGUCGCUUUACAGCGAGGAUGACGUUAUUGUAUUUUUUUUUAAGAUGGCUGCAGACGUCAAUCAACACUAGCUAAGAGCAUCGCCAUUGCACCGUUUGUCUGCCUUCUCUUCCUGUCCGGCUGCACUUGGCUGAGUGGGCACAGGUGUGGCAUCAUUCUGUGUGUCAGGAGCAUUUGCACUAAGAGCGGCCUUUAAACUGGCAGCAAGGCCACCGCUACUGCCUGUUGGACCUGUGGCGGCACCGGCAGGGGCACCACCGGCAGCACUGGCAGCGGAAUCAGAAGCUCCAGAAUCCCCAGGCUCGGAUGCACGAAGCCUCUUCAUGAGUGUGGUCACUCUGACAGCUUUCUGUGAGGACACACAUGGACACGGUGAACACAAUGGCAGGCUGGCAGCAAGACAGAGAGCAGCAGAUUUUGGCCGGAGUGAAACCUCUUCAAAGGCUUUUGAUGACGCAGGACAGAUGGUCUCAUGUUUGAGCCAAACUGUGAGAAAAACGCUUCUUGUCUCAUUCAAAGAAUAAUUUCUUGAUACAAGUUUGCGUUUAUGACAACUAACUGAGAUGUAGCGAGACAAAGGUUUUGGUGUCGAUGCAAUGACAAUUCAUCGCUUCUUUCACGACCAUUCGUGUCCUCUCCUGGCGUCACCAAGGCUCAUCUGACCACUUCCCUCUGAUGUUGUUUAGUUGCCAUGGUUACCAAGUGCUUACAGUAUGUUGGUAGAGCAUGGUGUGACGACGACUGCUGCUCCCCGGCAAUCAAACCGCAGCUUUACAUAACGGCAGCAGAACAUAACUUUAUUUACAAUAGUCCAGCACAAGACACUAUAACUUAUCAUAUCGAUAUAUAAUAUAGAGAUUAUUAUUGAUUCAUCAAAGCAUAAGUAUGCUGCUUAACUUUGGACAUACAUUUUUGCUGGGGAACAACUCUCUGAACUUCCACGUGUUUUCUUUACCAAGCCCAUAUUGUUGAGCCGAGUGGUGAAGAUGACUUGCUGGGUGUGAAGUCGUAAUGAUGCUGAUGAGGAUAAUGAUGAUGAUGAGGAGGAGAAAGCAGGGACACCACAAGACUGUGAAAACAAACCGAGAAGCAGCCUGCGUGCUCCAGACUGGAGUUAAAGGAACAUAAUAUUGACUAUGAAAACAAUGCAUCAGUUUUACAUAAUACAUUAACGUCCCGCCCAGCAAAAUAGAAGCAGCUGGUCUUCAAAUAUAGUUUGGGGGUUAAUACCAGAGCAUUCAACAUUCUUCAGCAUCUUUUUUUCCCCUCUCAGCAGAAACAUUUAUCGCUCACCUGCAGAGAAGAAGUGCUUGUAGAAGAAAAUAUCCAACCUUCUACUGUACUAGUUUCCUUUUUGGCGUGAAUAAUAAUGUUCUCCUGGUUCAAGUCUUGCAGGAUCCUCACAACAUUCCCAACAGGUCAGCUUGCUCGAGAGAGC